rnacentral:rRNA from 1 species
CCUACGGGAGGCAGCAGUGGGGAAUAUUGGGCAAUGGGCGCAAGCCUGACCCAGCAACGCCGCGUGAAGGAAGAAGGCUUUCGGGUUGUAAACUUCUUUUCUCAGGGACGAAGCAAGUGACGGUACCUGAGGAAUAAGCCACGGCUACCUACGUGCCAGCAGCCGCGUUAAUACGUAGGUGGCAAGCGUUAUCAGGAUUUACUGGGUGUAAUGGUCGUGUAGGCGGGACGGUAAGUCAGAUGUGAAAACCCCGGGCUCAACCUGUGGACUGCAUUUGAAACUGUAGUGCUUGAGUACGGGAGAGGCAGGUGGAAUUCCAAGUGUAGCGGUGAAAUGCGUAGAUAUGAGGAGGAACACCAGUGGCGAAGGCGGUCUGCUGGACAGCAACUGACGCUGAGGCGCGAAAGCGUGGGGAGCAAACAGGAUUAGAUACCCUGGUAGUC